rnacentral:rRNA from 1 species
GUGCCAGCCGCCGCGGUAAUACAGAGGGUGCAAGCGUUGUUCGGAAUCACUGGGCGUAAAGCGCGCGCAGGCGGAUGGUUGCGUCCGGAGUGAAAUUUCGCCGCUCAACGGCGAAGCUGCUUUGGAUACGGACCGUCUAGGGACCGGUAGAGGCUGGUAGAAUUGCAGGUGUAGCGGUGGAAUGCGUAGAGAUCUGCAAGAAUACCCGUGGCGAAGGCGGCCAGCUGGGCCGGAUCCGACGCUGAGGCGCGAAAGCGUGGGGAGCAAACAGGAUUAGAUACCCUGGUAGUCCACGCCGUAAACGAUGGGCACUAGGUGCCGGGGGGAGCGACCCCCUCGGUGCCGCAGCUAACGCGAUAAGUGCCCCGCCUGGGGAGUACGGCCGCAAGGCUGAA